GGACCCGCACAAGCGGUGGAGCAUGUGGUUUAAUUCGACGAUAAGCGAGGAACCUCACCAAGGUUUGACAUCUGGCUGCAGAGCUCUGGAAACAGAGCAGCCUUCGAGGGUGCCAGACAGAUGCUGCAUGGUUGUCGUCAGCUCGUGUCGUGAGAUGUACCGUUAAGUCGGAAAACGAGCGCAACCCCUAUCCUAUGUUUCAUGUGUCAUAGGAAACUGCCUGCUUUAAGUAGGAGGAAGGUGGGGAUGACGUCAAAUCAGCAUGGUUCUUACACCUUGGGCGACACACGUGCUACAAUGGGGAACACAAAGGGACGCCAAACCGUAAGGUGGAGCAAACCCCAAAAAAUUCUCCUCAGUUCGGAUUGAGGUCUGCAACUCGACCUCAUGAAGCUGGAAUCGCUAGUAAACGCGUAUCAGCCACGGCGCGUUGAAUACGUUCUCGGGUCUU
rnacentral:rRNA from 1 species